UACGUAGGGGGCUAGCGUUGUCCGGAAUCAUUGGGCGUAAAGCGCGUGUAGGCGGUUUGGUAAGUCCGCUGUGAAAGUCGGGGCUCAACCCUCGAAUGCCGGUGGAUACUGUCGGACUAGAGUACGGAAGAGGCGAGUGGAAUUCCUGGUGUAGCGGUGAAAUGCGCAGAUAUCAGGAGGAACACCAAUUGCGAAGGCAGCUCGCUGGGACGUUACUGACGCUGAGACGCGAAAGCGUGGGGAGCAAACAGG
rnacentral:rRNA from 1 species